rnacentral:rRNA from 1 species
GGAUGAACGCUGGCGGCGUGCCUAAUACAUGCAAGUCGAGCGGCAGCGAGUUCCUCACCGAGGUUCGGAACCGUUUACCGAUUAGCCAUUAGCGAUGACCUAUGGAUUACCAAUUAGCAAUGAGCGAUUAACCCCGCCGAAAUUGCCAAUUGAUAAUUGCUCAUUCAUUGCCAAUUGCCAAUUGAUAAACGAUAAUUUCCGAAGUUCAGUGAGGAAUGUCGGCGAGCGGCGGACGGCUGAGUAACGCGUAGGAACGUACCCCAAACUGAGGGAUAAGCACCAGAAAUGGUGUCUAAUACCGCAUGUGAUCUCCGGAUUAAAGCUUCGGCGGUUUGGGAACGGCCUGCGUACGAUUAGCUAGUUGGUGAGGUAAUGGCUCACCAAGGCGAUGAUCGUUAGCUGGUCUGAGAGGAUGAUCAGCCAGACUGGGACUGAGAACGGCCCAGACUCCUACGGGAGGCAGCAGUAGGGAAUUUUCCACAAUGGGGGCAACCCUGAUGGAGCAACGCCGCGUGCAGGAUGAAUGCCUUCGGGUUGUAAACUGCUUUUAUAUGUGACGAAUAUGACGGUAGCAUAUGAAUAAGGAUCGGCUAACUCCGUGCCAGCAGCCGCGGUCAUACGGAGGAUCCAAGCGUUAUCCGGAAUUACUGGGCGUAAAGAGUUGCGUAGGUGGCAGAGUAUGUCUGUAGUGAAAGCGUGUGGCUCAACCAUAUACACAUUNNNNNAACUGCUCAGCUAGAGGGCGAGAGAGGUAACUAGAAUUCCUUGUGUAGGAGUGGAANCCGUAGAUAUAAGNNGGAAUACCGAUGGCGUAGGCAGGUUACUGGCUCGUCCCUGACACUAAGGCACGAAAGCGUGGGGAGCAAACGGGAUUAGAUACCCCGGUAGUCCACGCCGUAAACGAUGAAUGCUAGCUGUGAGAGGUAUCGACCCCCCUCGUAGCGAAGCUAACGCGUUAAGCAUUCCGCCUGUGGAGUACGGUCGCAAGACUAAAACAUAAAGGAAUUGACGGGGACCCGCACAAGCGGUGGAGCGUGUUGUUUAAUUCGAUGGUACACGAAGAACCUUACCCGGGUUUGACAUGCAAGUGGUAGUGAUCCGAAAGGUGAACGACCCGCAAGGGAGCUUGCACAGGUGUUGCAUGGCUGUCGUCAGCUCGUGUCGUGAGAUGUUCGGUUAAGUCCGCUAACGAGCGCAACCCUCGCUGUAUGUUACAUGUGUCAUACAGGACCGCCGGUAUCAAGCCGGAGGAAGGUGGGGAUGACGUCAAGUCCGCAUGGCCUUUAUGUCCGGGGCUACACACACGCUACAAUGGUCGGUACAAUGGGUUGCUAAGCCGCGAGGUGGAGCCAAUCCCCCAAAGCCGGCCUCAGUACAGAUUGCAGGCUGCAACUCGCCUGCAUGAAGCUGGAGUUGCUAGUAAACGCGCGUCAGCUAUAGUGCGUUGAAUACGUUCUCGGGCCU